GAAGAAGACGCUGCACGACUACGCGGCGGAGUUCACGGAGCUGGCGGUGAAGCGGCACCUGCUGGAGCGCGGCGCCGCCGGCGAGGCCGCCGUGGUGGAGACGCUCUACUGCACCUCCUGCGAGCUGCCCAUGCGGGUGCGGCGCGACCGCAUCCUCGAGCACCUCUCCUCGGGCCGCCACUACCGCAACCGCCGCCUCGGCCGCCAGCACGGCCUGCGCGCCCCGCUCCUCCUAUCUGCAGGUCCAGACCUUGGCGCUAGCCUCCCCCUCCAGCUCGAUCCUCCUUCCCUGCUUUCUCAGCCUUCCUUUAUCCUCUCGGCCAACCCUUGCAUCACCAGCGCCGGGACCAGCACGAGCUACAGCAUGGUCCCGUCUCCGCCCUCCUGCCCCAAGGCGUUGAUCCCCGUUCCCCCCGGCGCUGUCAGCUCCACGACGAGCGUCGCGUCUGCCAGAGAAGACCAGACGCCCUCUACCUCCACCAGUCGCUCUUCGGCGUUCGCUGCCUUCCAUGUGAGAAGCGCGCCCGCUCCCUCAAAGCAGACUGGCCAAAGGCUCCUUGUUCCUGAGGUCUCCGACAGCGCCGUUCCCGGAGGGGCGGUGGGACGGAGCAGCAGUACUGCUAGCAGUAUCGGCAUCGGCCUCGCCCUCUUUGGCGUAGGGCUCGUUGACAAAGCAUUGUUUCAGAGUUUAAUGGAAGAGAAUAGUUGCUGUUUGCUUUACAUCGUGGAAAAUCAGCUGCAGGAGGUGGAACGUGCCUUCAGCGCGGAAUUUUUGGCCAAUACCAGGGUGCUGCGGCAACAGGAUGCUGACGUUGUGCUCAGUGAUCAACGGGUCUCUGGAGCCAUUAUUUCUUCACCACCUGGAGAAGCUUCUGAGAUUGUAAUAGAUGCUUUACGAGCUGGGAAAGGUGUAUUUUGCGAGAGGCUACCCAGUUUAGACAGGCAGACAGCAGAAGCUUGUUUUGAUGAAGCUGACAGAUGUGGAAGACCAUUGGUUUGUGGAUUCUACAAGCGUUUUGACCCAGCGCUGCAGUUCUUGUAUAAAAAAGUCCGUGACAGCCAGGCAUUGGGGAGGAUUCACCGGAUAUCGGCGACCAGCAGCAUAUAUCCAGCGGCUUCUCUUAGCUUCCUAAAAAAGUCAGGUGGAAUUUUUUAUAAUGCUGCUGUGCAUGAUAUAGAUAUUAUCAGUUUGUUGUUGGGAGAGAGUGCACCAGAUACAGUAUUUUCACUGGGACAUGCAUUCUGUGCAGAUAUGGCCUACUUGAAGGAUGCAGACACUGUAGCGGUCAGCAUGAAAUUCCCUAGCGGAGCAAUUGUCACUUUGGACGUCAGUCAGCACUGCACUAAAAGCUGUGAUCAGAGACUAGAGGUUCAUGGUUCUCAAGGAACGUUACGGGUAGAUAAUCAGAAUCCCUUGGGAAUUACAGAGCAUGGAACUUCUGUAUCCAUCUAUUCACAGACCCAUGCCGAUCGUUUCAGAGACGCGCACAGAGAGCUCUUUCGACACUUUCUUAGAACCCUGAAAGAACCUGAGGAA
rnacentral:lncRNA from 1 species